UACGGGAGGCAGCAGUGGGGAAUAUUGCACAAUGGGCGCAAGCCUGAUGCAGCCAUGCCGCGUGUAUGAAGAAGGCCUUCGGGUUGUAAAGUACUUUCAGUCGUGAGGAAGGUGUUAAGGUUAAUAACCUUAGCAAUUGACGUUAGCGACAGAAGAAGCACCGGCUAACUCCGUGCCAGCAGCCGCGGUAAUACGGAGGGUGCGAGCGUUAAUCGGAAUUACUGGGCGUAAAGGGCACGCAGGCGGUUAAUUAAGUUGGAUGUGAAAUCCCCGGGCUUAACCUGGGAAUGGCAUUCAAGACUGGUUAGCUAGAGUCUUGUAGAGGGGGUAGAAUUCCAUGUGUAGCGGUGAAAUGCGUAGAGAUGUGGAGGAAUACCGGGUGGCGAAGGCGGCCCCUGGGACAAAGGCUGACGCUCAUGUGCGAAAGCGUGGGGAGCGAAACAGGGAUUAGAUACC
rnacentral:rRNA from 1 species